rfam:Vibrio nigripulchritudo str. SFn1 chromosome, complete genome.
CAACUCUCAUCGGGGUGCUGAAUGUUUGGGCGCAUAAAAUGUUGUCCAUCUUAUGGCUGAGAUAAACCUUUGGUUUGAACCCGUACACCUGAACCAGAUAAUACUGGCGUAGGAAUUGAGCGUGGAAUUUUC